rnacentral:sRNA from 1 species
AUUUGAACUUUCUACUUGGACAACUAACACCCACAGUCCUCCAGGUACCUGCCGUCGGAAGAUUUGAGCUUUCUUCUUGAACACCUCAUACCCACAGUCCUCCAGACAGAAAGACAACAGGUACAAAGCCCUAAGGAUUAUAAAGGUAUGCUGCUUACCAUCAUCUUAGUGACCAAGGCAGCGAAGCUGUUUCUGUACCUUGGAACAGUCUUCCCUGACAAGCCAGAGAACAGUGAUAAAGCCACCAGCCUUGGGAUCAGGACUGAAAAGGCAAGAGUGAUGGAGAUUUCUCCUGCGCUAAGCCAAGAGAAGGUUUCAGCACUUCAGACAGCUCCCACCGAAGUAGCCACGCUCCCAGCUGCUUGCAGAUGUUGAAAAGGAAAGCCUCGGUUUGUCUUGAGGUUGUCAGCAGGUGCAAGACACGUAAUAAAAUGCAAUGUGUUCCUAA